GCACUAGCAAUUCAACGGUCACACUGAUCACAAGCUGAUAUUUAUAAAAAAGAAUUUGUACUAUUAAAAAGGAAGGCCGUAAGUUUUCCGUGGAAACCCCUAAAUAAACAGCAGUAUUCUACAGGCACAUUGUCAAGCAACUUUAUAAUGGAGAACAACGAAGCCCCCUCCCCCUCUGGAUCCAACAACAACGAUUUUCCCAUACUUCCGCCGCCGCCGAACUCGAAUGACAAUCACUACAAUCAAUAUGGGGACCAUAAAAUCAGCAACAACAAUGCCGCCCAGAAGAAACUGCAGCAGACCCAGGCCAAGGUGGAUGAGGUGGUCGGGAUUAUGAGGGUAAACGUAGAGAAGGUCCUGGAGCGAGACCAAAAGCUAUCGGAACUUGGCGAGCGGGCGGAUCAGCUGGAGCAGGGAGCAUCUCAGUUUGAACAGCAGGCCGGCAAGCUGAAGCGCAAGCAAUGGUGGGCCAAUAUGAAAAUGAUGAUCAUCCUAGGCGUCAUAGCCGUUGUGCUGCUCAUCAUUGUCCUGGUGUCGCUUUUCAAUUGAUACAAUUUAACUCUCACACAAACACAGAAAAACAAAAGCAAAGCCAACAAAAAAUCAAAAAGCAAUUCCGUUUACCAUACAGCAAAGUUAAGGUUCAAUUUAAUCAUUACAUACGUUUAUAUACGUAUACCCGGCUCCUACUAUAUACACUUUAAAUUGUAUAUUAUAUUUUAUAAAACGUCUUAAGCUAAGCAACUCUAAAACUCCAAAGCGUCCGUUUGGCCAUCUAGCAGCGACAGUAGCAGUGGCAGUAAGGCAGUCACCCAAGCACCGCCGCACUAAAGGCCUUCAAGGGAUUGAGGUAAACGCACGGAUACGAAAUGGAAAAGGACCAAACAACUACAUAUGGGACGAAAACCUUUCUGGUCUUUUCGCGCAAACAGAGAGAGAGAGAGAGAGGAGAGAUGAAGUAAAUCAAAAAGGAUAACUUACUAAAAUUUCGUCUAUCAUAUAUAUUUAACCAGAAUGUAAUUAUUAAAACUUAAUGUUAAACGUAACACUUUUACGUAUUGUGUAGCCGAGACCGGAGGUCCCAUUUAAAUGUGUAAUGCAUAUGUAAAAUUAUAUAUACGUCAUAAAUACAUCAUGCCACCUACACUUUAA